AGUUGGAGUUGAUUCACUGCUCUAAAAAUAUGAUAACCUGAGGGAAAGAACCAAUUUUUUCCUUUGUUUUCUGAAUCUUGAAUAAUCAUAAUGGCACUUCAGCUGCUGCUUCAGCCAACUAUAAAAAAUGGAAUCUUUCAGUACCCUUCUGCAAUUAGACCUUUUGGGAAUAGAAAAAAAGUUUCUAUUCAAGCACAAGCCACUCCUACAAGAACCCAG
rnacentral:lncRNA from 1 species